rnacentral:rRNA from 1 species
UUCCGGUUGAUCCUGCCGGACCUGACUGCUAUCGGAUUGAUACUAAGCCAUGCGAGUCUUUGUAGUAAUACAAGGCAGACGGCUCAGUAACACGUAGUCAACCUACCCUAUGGACGAGAAUAAUCUCGGGAAACUGAGCAUAAUUCUCGAUAGAUCAUAAUGCCUGGAAUGGUUUAUGGUUAAAAUGAUUCGUCGCCAUAGGAUGGGACUGCGGCCUAUCAGCUUGUUGGUGAGGUAAUGGCCCACCAAGGCGAUUACAGGUACGGGCUCUGAGAGGAGAAGCCCGGAGAUGGGUACUGAGACACGGACCCAGGCCCUAUGGGGCGCAGCAGGCGAGAAAACUUUGCAAUGUGCGAAAGCACGACAAGGUUAAUCCGAGUGAUUUCUGCUAAAGAAAUCUUUUGCCAGUCAUAAAACCACUGGUGAAUAAGGGGUGGGCAAGUUCUGGUGUCAGCCGCCGCGGUAAAACCAGCACCUCAAGUGGUCAGGAUGAUUAUUGGGCCUAAAGCAUCCGUAGCCGGCUUUGUUAGUUUUCGGUUAAAUCCAUGUGCUCAACGCAUGGGCUGCCGAAAAUACUGCAUAGCUAGGGAGUGGGAGAGGUAGACGGUACUCAGUAGGAAGGGGUAAAAUCCUUUGAUCUAUUGAUGACCACCUGUGGCGAAGGCGGUCUACCAGAACACGUUCGACGGUGAGGGAUGAAAGCUGGGGGAGCAAACCGGAUUAGAUACCCGGGUAGUCCCAGCUGUAAACGAUGCAGACUCGAUGAUGCAUUGGCAUAUAGCCAGUGCAGUGUCGCAGGGAAGCCGUUAAGUCUGCCGCCUGGGAAGUACGUACGCAAGUAUGAAACUUAAAGGAAUUGGCGGGGGAGCACCACAAGGGGUGAAGCCUGCGGUUCAAUUGGAGUCAACGCCGGG